AAUGCAGUCGAGCGAACAGAUAAGGAGCUUGCUCCUUUGACGUUAGCGGCGGACGGGUGAGUAACACGUGGGUAACCUACCUAUAAGACUGGAAUAACUCCGGGAAACCGGGGCUAAUGCCGGAUAACAUAUAGAACCGCAUGGUUCUAUAGUGAAAGAUGGUUUUGCUAUCACUUAUAGAUGGACCCGCGCCGUAUUAGCUAGUUGGUAAGGUAAUGGCUUACCAAGGCGACGAUACGUAGCCGACCUGAGAGGGUGAUCGGCCACACUGGAACUGAGACACGGUCCAGACUCCUACGGGAGGCAGCAGUAGGGAAUCUUCCGCAAUGGGCGAAAGCCUGACGGAGCAACGCCGCGUGAGUGAUGAAGGGUUUCGGCUCGUAAAACUCUGUUAUUAGGGAAGAACAUAUGUGUAAGUAACUGUGCACAUCUUGACGGUACCUAAUCAGAAAGCCACGGCUAACUACGUGCCAGCAGCCGCGGUAAUACGUAGGUGGCAAGCGUUAUCCGGAAUUAUUGGGCGUAAAGCGCGCGUAGGCGGUUUCUUAAGUCUGAUGUGAAAGCCCACGGCUCAACCGUGGAGGGUCAUUGGAAACUGGGAAACUUGAGUGCAGAAGAGGAAAGUGGAAUUCCAUGUGUAGCGGUGAAAUGCGCAGAGAUAUGGAGGAACACCAGUGGCGAAGGCGACUUUCUGGUCUGUAACUGACGCUGAUGUGCGAAAGCGUGGGGAUCAAACAGGAUUAGAUACCCUGGUAGUCCACGCCGUAAACGAUGAGUGCUAAGUGUUAGGGGGUUUCCGCCCCUUAGUGCUGCAGCUAACGCAUUAAGCACUCCGCCUGGGGAGUACGACCGCAAGGG
rnacentral:rRNA from 1 species